CGGAGGGUGCGAGCGUUGUCCGGAAUCACUGGGCGUAAAGGGCGCGUAGGUGGCCCGUUAAGUGGCUGGUGAAAUCCCGCGGCUCAACUGCGGGGCUGCCGGUCAUACUGGCGAGCUAGAGCACGGUAGGGGCAGAUGGAAUUCCCGGUGUAGCGGUGGAAUGCGUAGAGAUCGGGAAGAAUACCAGUGGCGAAGGCGUUCUGCUGGGCCGUUGCUGACACUGAGGCGCGACAGCGUGGGGAGCAAACAGGAUUAGAUACCCUGGUAGUCCACGCCGUAAACGAUGGACACUAGACGUCGGGGGGAGCGACCCUCCCGGUGUCGUCGCUAACGCAGUAAGUGUCCCGCCUGGGGAGUACGGCCGCAAGGCUG
rnacentral:rRNA from 1 species